AACACGAGUAAGCUGUUCUGUGAACCUGGGAGCCACACAGCUGAAGAAGAAGCUCAAAAAACUAAAGCGCAAAUCAAGUCAAAGCUUGCUGGUUACUCUCUGCUCCUCAGCAUGACUGUUGUAGCUUUCUUCAUGACUUGGAGUGGGUGGAGAAAAUGGUUUAAAAAAAAUACAGUUGGUGCAACAAGAAAACUUUUUACUACAAACUGAUUUUGGAAGAAGAGAAAAAAGUUCUGGAGGAGCUUUUGAGGAAAGAAGCAAAUGAAACUCUGACUAAAGAAAUCACGAGCAACAUAAAAAGGAAAGACUGGGACGGCUGUUUUAACGUUGCUCAACAAAUGAUCAGUAAUGCAAAACAUCAAAAACCAGAAGCAACCAACCAGCAGAUCAACUGGAUCAGUGAGGGGAGCUCCAGCAGAGGGGGACAGCAUCAUCAAGCAGCAGCACAUCAGCAGGCACAAAACUAUGAACUUGAAGCAGUGGCACAAGAAAACAGAGACACCAUGCCGUUAUUUAACGAAUCCGCCUGAAAGAACAUCAAGUGAUGCAGCUCCAGAAACAUCGCAAGUGACCACAGACAAGUUAUACACCUUGUCAGGCGACGUGAGGUCUAGAGAGAGAGAGGUCGGAUAAAAGUUCUUAAUAUCCAGCCUUAUGUGAUUAUAAAUGGAUUGGGAUGAAUCUGCAAAAUGUUUUUGGAAAGGCAAGCAGGAGACUGUUGUUGUAGAGUAGAUUGAGGAGACUGAAUCUGUUCAGUUGCAAACAGAAAGUUCAGUAUCUUGCAAAACAAACACGUUUAAAACAAGACAAGAAAAAAGAAGAAAAAAAGUUCAAAUGUUCUGUUCUAAAUCUGCUGUGUUCUACAAAUGAAUUCGAGAAUUGGAAAAGGAAAAUAGGAAAAGACAUAUUUUUUUUGUUUUUGUUUUUAAAUCCUAUGCCAACUCUUUUUAGCUUUGUAAAUAUUGGCUACAUUUUUAUUAUUAUUGGGCUAUCCUAGGAUAAAUGUUAUUUUGUUGGUUCUAAAGAUCUGGAUGAAUAUUUUACUUUAUUCUUUAUUGUAAUUUUUUAUCCUGUUUUUCAGUUUUAUUUUUCAAGACUUGGUGAAUUGACCUUUAUUUUUACAACUUGGCUUACACUUUUUAGUAUGUUGGCAAUAAUGAGAAGUGUUUUUCAGUUUCUUAGCCCCCUUGACAUGGUCGGGGGGGGGUUGCAUGCCUCAAUGACAUUGGUCAGUUCUUAGGGUAGAUGCCUGACAAUCCGAUUACAUGACAAAAACAGUUAUUCAGAGCACCCCACCACCACCCCACCCCUUUCCUGUCUCUGUUGCCACCAUUUGCCUCCUUUACAUUUCCGUCUGCCCCCUCAUGUAUGCCUGUCUAGAACCGGGUUGUUAUUAUUGCAAAAUCUUCAUCCAGCUAUUUGUUUUUAGGAGCCCUUUUUUGUCAAGUGGUGGGUUACCACCAUCGCAGCUUUUGAGAUGUAUCUACAGAUUCAAAUUGAUCUUAUAUUUUUCAUUAAAUAAUAAAAUAUUUCAGUUUAAA